GUUUUAUUUCAGCUAAAAGGUUAGCAGUCCCCUUGUUAAGUACAGAAGAGGCCCUUGCAGCAUGGACAACAUACAUGUAGUUAAGACACUGCCAUUUACAUUGUGGUUACGAGGUUUUGCUUUAU